GGAGUACUCACAACUGACUGUUGGUAGUGAAGAGGCAACACAACAAGUUGCAGAUGUUCAGCUGAUCACAAGCACAAGUGGAAGAUAUGCAGAUUGGGACAUCCACAUGAGCCUUAAUGCUACCUCAACAAGUGAGCUGCCUUCUGAGCUUGAUGCAUAUUUAGCUAAGCCUACCAUUCCUCAUAGUGGCCAUUUUGAUGUUCUUGCUUGGUGGAGGAGCAACUCUCUUGAGUAUCCAAUUCUGUCCCGUAUGGCUAGAGAUAUUCUAGUGGUGCCUGCUUCAUCGGUCGCAUCAGAAUCAGCAUUCAGCAUUGGAAAGAGAGUGAUAUCUGAUGACAGAAGUCGAUUAGCUCCUGAAACGGUUGAAGCACUAGUGUGCUGUCAAGAUUGGAUUCGAGCUUCUAGUUCAUCAAUAUUUCGGAUGGAAAGUAUCCAUGAUUUCAUUGAGCAACUUGAUCAACAUGAAUGAAGUUUCGAAAGGUGAAAACUGGAGUUUGGCAUAUCCUGGAGUCUGGCAUAUCAUGAAGGAAGCAGCAUAGCUGAAUGUUCCUGUAUCACUGAAUGACCAAAGCUGAAUGUUGAAUGUUCACUCGUGGGGCAAUUUGCUGAAUGCUGAAUGUUCACUCGUGGGGCAAUUUUUUGUCAGUCACUUCAGUUGCUUCCAAAACUGAAUGCUUUUAUGAAGAUAUUAUCUGAAUAUUUUUUCUGUAAUGAAAAUCUAUAUGGAUGGUGCUAUUGAAUAUUUUUUCUGUAUAUGGCACCCUACAUGGUAAGCACUGGCUGUGAAAAUAUAUGGCAUAUAUGGCUUGCAUCAUCCUGAAUGCUUUA